CCUACGGGAGACAGCAGUGGGGAAUAUUGGGCAAUGGACGCAAGUCUGACCCAGCAACGCCGCGUGAAGGAAGAAGGCUGUCGGGUUGUAAACUUCUUGUAAGGGGGAAGAGCAGAAGACGGUACCCCUGGAAUAAGCCACGGCUAACGACGUGCCAGCAGCCGCGGUAAUACGUAGGUGGCAAGCGUUGUCCGGAUUUACUGGGUGUAAAGGGCGUGCAGCCGGGAAGACAAGUCAGAUGUGAAAUCCCGCGGCUCAACCGCGGAACGGCAUUUGAAACUUUUUUUCUUGAGUAUCGGAGCGGUCAUCGGCAUUCCUAGUGUAGCGGUGCUAUGCGUCGAUAUUAGG
rnacentral:rRNA from 1 species